GAUGAACGCUGGCGGCGUGCCUAACACAUGCAAGUCGAGCGAACGGACGAGAAGCUUGCUUCUCUGAUGUUAGCGGCGGACGGGUGAGGAACACGUGGAUAACCUACCUAUAAGACUGGGAUAACUUCGGGAAACCGGAGCUAAUACAGGAUAAUAUUUUGAACCGCAUGGUUCAAAAGUGAAAGACGGUCUUGCUGUCACUUAUAGAUGCAUCCGCGCUGCAUUAGCUAGUUGGUAAGGUAGCGGCUUACCAAGGCAACGAUGCAUAGCCGACCUGAGAGGGAGAUUGGCCACACUGGAACUGAGACACGGUCCAGACUCCUGAGCUAGGCAGCAGUAGGGAAUCCUACGCGAGGGGCGAAAGCCUGACGGAGCAACGCCGCGUGAGUUAUGAUGGUCCGCCGAUCGUAAAACGCUGUUAUUAGGGAAGAACAUAUGUGUAAUUAUCUGUGAAGAUCUUGACGGUACCUUAACAGAAAGCCACGGCUAACUACGUG
rnacentral:rRNA from 1 species